GGGAUAUUAGUAAAAGAUUACAUAACUUUGUCGAAGUUAAAUUAUAGGUGAGAUCCCUAUAUAUCUCU
rnacentral:tRNA from 1 species